CCAUUCUAUUUAGUUAUUUGUCUAUUUAUUUAUUUUAUUGGGCCUCAAGCCCAAUAAUAUUUAUCUGUGAGUUAUUAAUUUUUCUUGGGCCUCCAACCCAAAAUUUGGUGAGAUCAAUGUUGGCCCAAAAUUUGGAGAUCAGUGUGGGAAGCUGAAACAUGCGUGUGUGUGUGUCUGUGAGAACUGUAAUAUUUUCCUUUCUCUCCAAGUCUAACUGUACAAGAUAUUUUUCACAAAUUUGAAGCUUUGGCGUUGUUUCAACCACGUCAAUCCAUCUACCUUCAUAAAUUACCUCAACUUUUCUUACACUAUUCCAGCGCAAGAGUCACUUCCUCAGGCUGCGGUAGGAAGCAAUCAACAUAAAUUCCAGCUGAGAAGAGGGGGAGGUUGUCGGAGGCCCGAUGCCGGGCUGACGAUGAUGCGGCGGCCGGCGCCGCAUGGGUGGUGGCAGCCCGUGGCUGCUCACGGUGAAGGCAGGCGAGGCGGCGCGGUUUGAGGCAGGACGGUGCAAGGCGGCACCCGACGCCGCUGAACUCGGCCGAGGCAGGCGAGCGGCGGCGGUGGCGUUUCCUCCAUGGCCGUCUGCCUUCGGACACGGGCGCGAGAAUGGGGGAGGCAGAUGGGAGGAUGGUGAGAGAGGGAGGUUGACGAGCAAGGGAAGGGUGGUGGCCGGCGACGAUCUCAUCGGGAAGAGGGGUGGCGGCGUGACUGGUUAAGAGAGAGGGUGGUGAGAUAGGGAAGGCGACGAGUGGGGGGAAGACAUCGGAGUCGGCGAUUAUCGCCGAGGUAGGAGCAGGCGGCGGCGGAUCUUGGAGGGAGAAGAGGGGCGGUGAUUUUGGGAGAGAGAGAGAGAAAGAGCCGAUUUUUUUUAAGAGUGGGAAAGUGAGAGAUGUGUUUAUAUUAUUUCUUUGUUUUAGUUUGACCUUUUUUUUCAAAUGGGUCUUUAGUUUUGGGCUCUCACUUAUUAAAAUCAAUGGGCCAAUUUAUAUUAAUCAUAGUGGCUGAUUCAUUUCAUUUAUUUGAUGGGCUGUGUUUUAUUAUAUUUGGGCUCAUUUGAUUUGAACAAGUCUAUUGCAUUAAUUUCUUGGGCUCUAAUCAUUUUUCUAAUUGAGCCUACUAGUAUUUUAAUUAGUUUUAUUAAUUUUCUUAAAAGAUUAGCUUUUAUAUUAAAUAUCUUAUAAGUGUUAAAUUUAUUAUUAAUUAUCUUAAUUAAGUUAUUAAUUAUGUAUUAAAAGUUUAUGAAUUCACUCAAGGAGUUUAUUAAAACGGGCAAAGUGUAUCAAUAGUUAGCGAUUCCAUUUACUUAGAAAUUAGAAUGAUACCUCGAGACCUAUUAAGAAUAUAAUUUCUUGUAGGCUUUGUGACCAGGUGGGUUAGCGCUGCUUUCCCAAGACAGGUUUAUAUGUGUAUAAUCUUCAGGCUUUGCCUAUCCAGAUGAGGAUUGUGUACACAAGGUUAGUUGCUCAAUGGGUUGAUCGCCAUUUGGGCACUAACGAAGCUAAGUAGGCGUUAUAAGGGUGCUCCUGGACACGUUCCAAGCACAGAUGAUGAUGUGUUCCGUCUGGGUAACGUCCCGGGUUCACUUAAGCGGCGGUAAGCGAUCCGACGGUGGUUAAGUCCCGGGAUCAUAAGCAGCGAGUAACAAUCGAACGUCACAUGGCGCGCCACUUAAUGAGAGAAAUGUUUUGUCAUGCUUAGAAGUGGAUUUCUAUUUUUUUAAAACCUUCUAAGUUAUGAUUAUGAUAUUGGAUAAACUGUUCUAUUUAAUUAUUUCAUAAAAUAUCUUGUAAACUCCUGUUCACUGAGUACACUAGUACUCAGCCCAAAUUAUUUCAAAUAU